ACCCUACUAUGCCUAGCCGUAACAAAACAAUUAAAUAACUAAUUGUUCGCCAAAUAACUACGAGUGAAAACUUAAAAUUUAAAAGACUUGACGGUGCUUCACACCAACCUAGAGGAGCCUGUCUAAUAACCGAUAAUCCACGAUUCAACCAACCCGCUCUAGCCUAACAGUCUAUAUACCGCCGUCGCCAGCUUACCUUGUGAAAGAAAUAAAGUAAACCUAAUAACACCACAUUAAUACGACAGGUCGAGGUGUAACUAAUGAGCGGGUCAAAGAUGGGCUACAUUUUCUAACCCAGAAAACACGGAUAAACUAUGAAACUAGAAACUGAAGGCGGAUUUAGCAGUAAGCUAAGAACAGAAUGCUCAGCCGAAACCAACGCAAUGAAGUGCGCACACACCGCCCGUCAUCCCUGUAAAAAAAUAUAAAUUAUUCAUAAACAAAUUAUUGACCAUAAAGCA
rnacentral:rRNA from 1 species